rnacentral:ncRNA from 1 species
UGUUCUCAGGGCGGGGCGAAAUUCCCCACCGGCGGUAUGUGAUUUUGAGAUCACCAGCCCGCGAGCGCCCCAGAAAUGGGGGUCAGCAGAUCAGGUGCGAUGCCUGAGCCGACGGUUAAAGUCCGGAUGGAAGAGAGCG